rnacentral:rRNA from 1 species
GACGAACGCUGGCGGCGUGCCUAAUACAUGCAAGUAGAACGCUGAAGAGAGGAGCUUGCUCUUCUUGGAAGAGUUGCGAACGGGUGAGUGACGCGUAGGUAACCUGCCUUGUAGCGGGGGAUAACUAUUGGAAACGAUAGCUAAUACCGCAUAACAAUGGGUGACCCAUGUCAUUCAUUUGAAAGGGGCAAAUGCUCCACUACAAGAUGGACCUGCGUUGUAUUAGCUAGUAGGUGAGGUAACGGCUCACCUAGGCGACGAUACAUAGCCGACCUGAGAGGGUGAUCGGCCACACUGGGACUGAGACACGGCCCAGACUCCUACGGGAGGCAGCAGUAGGGAAUCUUCGGCAAUGGGGGCAACCCUGACCGAGCAACGCCGCGUGAGUGAAGAAGGUUUUCGGAUCGUAAAGCUCUGUUGUAAGUCAAGAACGAGUGUGAGAGUGGAAAGUUCACACUGUGACGGUAGCUUACCAGAAAGGGACGGCUAACUACGUGCCAGCAGCCGCGGUAAUACGUAGGUCCCGAGCGUUGUCCGGAUUUAUUGGGCGUAAAGCGAGCGCAGGCGGUUUGAUAAGUCUGAAGUUAAAGGCUGUGGCUCAACCAUAGUUCGCUUUGGAAACUGUCAAACUUGAGUGCAGAAGGGGAGAGUGGAAUUCCAUGUGUAGCGGUGAAAUGCGUAGAUAUAUGGAGGAACACCGGUGGCGAAAGCGGCUCUCUGGUCUGUAACUGACGCUGAGGCUCGAAAGCGUGGGGAGCGAACAGG